rnacentral:rRNA from 1 species
CGUAGGAGGCGAGCGUUGUCCGGAAUUACUGGGCGUAAAGAGCGCGUAGGCGGCACGGUACGACCGGUGUGAAAGCCCCCGGCUCAACUGGGGAGGGUCACCGGUAACGGUCGAGCUAUGAGUGCAGGAGAGGGAAGUGGAACUCCGGGAGUAGCGGUGAAAUGCGUAGAGACCCGGAGGAACACCAGUGGCGAAGGCGGCUUCCUGGUCUGCGACUGACGCUGUGGCGCGAAAGCUAGGGGAGCAAACGGG